AGUAGAAUGGCUGGAUCAUAUGGUAAGUACAUGUGAACUUUUCAGGAAACUGCCACAGUUUUCCAAAGUGGGUAUACCAUCUUGUAUUUCCAACAGCAGA
rnacentral:pre_miRNA from 1 species